AAGACCUCAGACUUCCAGCUGUUUCCUUCAAGAUGCAUGAAAAGAUGAAAAGCUCUGACAACCUCAGGAAGACUCUGACUCAGCUGCAGCCACAUCUGGCUUGAAAUUCUACUGGAAACCCAUGGAGUUCGGGGCUCCACACGGCGACUCUCAUGAUCAUAGAACACGAACAGCUGGUCAUCCACGUAGCCCAAAGCUUCAAACAAGGAAAGACCAAGGUCCUGCUCUGAGGCACCCAUGAAGAGGUAGUGCAGAGAGUGUGAACCUGGAGACAGAGCAACAGGCCUUAACCAUGUGUAGUAGGAGGGGAGCAGGAUGUUGAGGCUCCACACACCUGCAUCAACUCAUACCAUCAGCUGUGUCUGGUCCUCAUUUUGUGAAGGGGGGUCAGGGGAGACAGGGUCUUGCUCUGUCACCUAGGCUGAAGUACAGUGGCACAGUCAUGGCUCACUGCAGCCUCAACUUCCUGGGCUCAAGCAAUACCCUCCACCUCAGCCUCCCGAGUAGCUAGGAUCACAGGUGCAUGCCACCACACCCAGCUAAUUUUUGUAUUUUUUGUAGAGAAGGGGUUUUGCUGUGUUGCCCAGGCUGGUCUUGAACUCCUGAGCUCAGGAAUCUGCUCUCCUUGGCCUCCUCCUUGGCAUGAGCUACUACACCCAGCCAAUUCUUCUCUUUCUCUCACACAACAUAGAAUCCUUCAGCAACUUCCUUCAGAAUAUAUUCAGGAGACAAUGGUUUGUCACUCCCUUUUCUGUUCCCACCCAGCCCACUCCACUACCUCUUGCCUGGACUGUGUAACAGCUUCCUGGCUGGGCUCCCUGCUUUUACUGUUGCUCCCUUCAUUCUGCUUUCCACAUAGCAGCCAGAGCAAUCUUUUAAAAGCCUGUGACAGAUCACUGUUACUCCUUGGCUAGAAUUCACACCACAGCCUACAGGCGCCUGCACAACCUUGUUUGUGGCUCCUCUUCUGAGCCCAUUACCUACUUCUUGGCCUCUACUCCCCAGCACUACUUGUUUAUUUUUUUCAACCCGAGCUUCUUAACCAGGAGUUUGUCUACUAGGUGACAUGUGGCAAAGUUUAGAGACAUUUUUGGUUGUCAAGACUGGGGGAGUGCUCCUAGCACCUAGUGAGUAGGGAGGACAGGAUACUGCUAGACAUCCUACAUGCAGAUGGUAGUCCCCCUUCCCACCCCCACGCCGCCCCCCCCCCCCACACACACACACAUGAGUAGUGCUGAGAAAACCCGCUUUUUAAUCCAACUUGCCAGGCCCACUCAGUUUGCCUGGGAAAUACUGCUCCCAGUCAAUAUCAUUCUUAUUUCCUUCAUGUCUCUGCUCAAGUGUCAGCCCCAGAGUGACUUGCCCUGACUUCUCUGCUUCUCACAACACCCAUGAUUUCCUGAUGUUGUAUAUCUUUCUGCUCAUUUGCUUAUUGUCAUCUCUCCCACUAGAAUGCAAAAUAUCAAAGGGUAAAGACUUGUUUCCCUGCUCUCUCCCUUGGGGCUUGAACAGUGCAACACAUGGCUGGGACUCAUUUACACUUGUAAACAAUGAAUAUUUCUGCUCAACAUGAAAUUUUAUUAUUCAACCUCUAAUGCAGUGUGAUGUUUAAGAAUCAUAGCUAUGAAGUGGAGACAUGAGCUCUGCCACCAAAGCCCAGUGUACCAUUGAAUAAAUUUGCCAGGAAGCAGGCCGUGCCAUGCCUCAUUCUUGUCAUGUGUAAAAUGUGGAUACACGUAGUACCAAAACUCAAAGUGCUGUGCUGAGGCCGGCGUGUGACCCACAGAACACUGUGCUACACUACAGGGCAAAAUCACUGUCAACUAAGAUUAGAAGCAGCUGUAGUACUUGAAAUAACAUCAGAAAACCAGAUUAUUUAUGUUCUUUGUAACCUGAAAAGAGUUAUAUAAUCUGAAUUCCAGUUAACUUCUAGUAAAAUAAACGUAUUAUUAGCUCCUACCUCCCUAUGCCUAGUGAAAAUCAAAUAAGAUCAGAUAUGAAUGUAACUUAGAAGUGAGUGCAUUGCUUACAUGUUCAUUAUCAGUACUUUGUAGAGAGGCCUCUUAAUUACACAGCACAUUGCAAAUCAAUAAAGCCUAGCCGAAAAGAGAAUUGUUCAGUUCAAACGUUCAAAACUAACAUAUACUUAAUUUUCCAGGCAAAAGAACAAUUGCCAAGAGUGGGGAAAGGCCCGAGGUAGGCCUCUCUCAGGAGCCUCCCACCCUAGAGACCUCCACCCCAGGUCUCACCAAAAGUGGGUGGAAUGGUGAAGAAUUCAGAUCCCCAACGCCACUCUUUCGCGCCCCCACCGCCCAACGCAUUCGUUCUGAGGUGGAAACCCCGUGCGGAUCCUGCUGUGGGUUUGCUCAGCCUUCUCGGCAAGCACUCAGGGAAGAACUUCCUGUUUGGAGAUGACUGGGGAAAAAACUGCACAGCUGACAUUGGAAAUAAACCCGAGUUCCAGGUUCAAGGAGCCCCAGGCUUAGCUCAGCUCAAGUGAGGAACUACGAGAUUUAUUUAAAAGCAUUCUAGUUGGGGGAAGGGAGUGGGCGGUUCCAAAAGUCACUCCGCAGAGCCGGGACAGCCGGGGGAGGGGGCAGGUCCUGGGGCGAGGGACCCCUAUCUGCAGUUCAGUGGUAGGCACUCCCUCACGGGGUCUGGACGCAGAAAGUAGGGAGAGGGGCUUGCGGAUAGGGUUGAGCAGGUCCUCCAAAGUUAGCAAACUCCCAAGCGCAAAGAAAAAGCUAGUUUCGAUUUUUCCACCCCCGCCGCGCCCCUAGUUCGCCCGCAGCCCUCGGACUCACGCAGCAAGCGCCCCUGCAGGACCGCGGUCUGCAAAAGCAUCAGGAGGAGAAGCGCCGGCCUGGCUCGCGGGCCCAUUUCCCCAGCUCUGGCCGCACGUCCCCGUUAAAUCUCCGCUUCUUUUGGGGGGCGGGGAAACGGGGAUGGCUCCAGAAGUCACCCUACAGCUAUUGCCUAGGCUCAGGAGAUGCCCAGUAAAACUUCCUGGUGAAAAGCAACAGGUCUUUCAGAACUUUAGUUCUCUCUCUCCUACAGCAGAAGGUACCUGCUUGUGAAACACUAGGUGAUCCAGUGUCCCCCUUGGUUUUUAAAUCCUGAAGGGGUGUUGUUGAUUGGGGAAAGUAGCUUCGCAAUGUUCUGAUCUGAACUUUAGAUAUUUAAAUAUUUAUGAUUUUCAAAAUUCAAUCAUACAUUUAAAAAUUUUAUCUCAACCUUAGACCAACUUAUGUCUUAUUUGACUUAGAAAUAUAAAGCUUUUUCAUUUUGUUUUUUGAUUCAAAUUAAUUAAGUCAUAACAUUAACCAAUUAGAUCCUACUGAAACACCUUCCACAGCCUUCAUAAUUGAAUUAUCUGACAAGUGUUUCACAAACUUUACAGUAUUGGGAUUAUCUGGAGAAUGAUUAAACAUAUUGAGGCCUGCUCCUAACCCCAGACACACUGAUUUAAUGGGUAAUUGUUAGGUAGUUAGACAUUAGCAGUUGGGAGGGGAUGACAGAAGAGAGCGGAAAGGCUGUCACUAAGACAGCCACUGGCCCACCUAAAUUCAGGCCCAAGACUACCCUAAUGCCACCCUAAGGGAUGGAGUUUAUGAUAAAGUCUGUGGCCAAAAUAUCCUGGAGAAAGAGAAAGGAGGGUACAGGUGGAAAUUCCCUAAGGUGGCACAUGCCCAACAACACAAAAGCCUGUCUUCAAGUUCACCCCAAGUUCAUCAUGCCAUCAUUAUAAUAGAAUUUACAUACAGUUUUGCCCCCCCAUCCCUGGGAGGCUUUUCUUAACAAAUUAUAGGUAAGACCAUGCACAGUUUAAUUUUAGAUUGUAUAGCUAUACACUUCAAUCAAAUAACAUCAUCCUGUCACUCAGAUACAGCCCAAACCUCAACUCCUCCCCACAAACCCCAUAAAAGCACCUUGAGCUCUGUAAAGAAGUGCUGAGUUCACUUCGCAGAAAUAAGCCCGCUGUCCCUCAGAGUGUAUUAUUGUGCUUCAAUAAACUUUGCUUUAAGCUUGCAUUUUGGUGUUAGUUUGUAGUUCUUUGCUCACUAUCACAAGAACUGAGAUUGCUGGUUCAGAGCUCCGGCUAUAAUAAUCUCCUCGGUUAAAGGAUCCAUCCCAAUGCAUAAUUCCCAGUAACAGUAUGGGAUGCCACCUGGGCAAUGGGAUUUUAAAAGCUUUCCUUCUCCCUCAACGAAGUUUGGGAAUUAUUGCCUUAGACAUUUCAAACAAUAUUAAUAAAUUUAAUACACCUGAUUUGCUCCAAACCUUUACAUAUCUAGCAAAUUCAACAGGCAUUAUUUUUGUAAGCAUGUAUGCAAAUUUUGGCAAUUCAAGAAAAUCAAACAGGAUAUCAGGGCCUCGACUGUAGGCAAACAGAUACAAUAACAUUGGAAACAUGUAGAAUAUUGAUGAUGGG
rnacentral:lncRNA from 10 species